AAGUCGUAACAAGGUUUCUGUAGGUGAACCUGCAGAAGGAUCAUUAAAAAUUUAUCUAAGAGUACACUCCCUGAGUGACUCAAAAAACAUAAAUUUAAAUUCCCCUUUAGGUUGAUUGAGGUGUAUUUUCUCUUUUUUAGUAAAAUAAAAAAUUGAAAAAAAGCAGACUCUCUCGGCACCCCCAUGUAGCUCUAAUUAGUAAAAUAGUUAGAGUUUGCAUUUUACCCCCCUAAAUUUUUUUUAUUACUUAAGUGGUGAACAGUCUCUAUUUUUUUUUUCUUAACAAAUAUAACCUUCAACAAUGGAUCUCUAGGCUCUC
rnacentral:misc_RNA from 1 species